rnacentral:sRNA from 1 species
AGAGAGAGUCAAACAGUACGUGAAACCGUCAGGAGGGAAACGAACGAGGUUGGUGCAGUGAUCACGCAGGUUCAAGCGCUGCCGAGGGUGCCGACACGGCGACGGAGAUCGUCCCGUGCCGUCCACCCGAGGCAGUGCCGUACUCCUCGUGAGCACGGAUCAGCGGCGGUUGGACCGGAGCCACAAGGCGGCGGAGGAAGGUGAGUCGACACGGGCCAGCCCUGCGUCGACAGCUUACAGCCCCGUCGUACGGCGCUCCGGCCCGACCGAGGAAAACGGGCAGCCCUUGCCCACCGAGGCACACGCCGAAUGGCGGGGCCUCCCGAUGCGAGUGAACCGUGCGGUGUGGACUGCACGCAGUGCAAAUCGUGGCGGCGAUCUCGUGGCGGUGAGCGCCACACGUGUGCCAGUGCUGCUGGUAUUCAGACGGCCUCGUCCGACCCGUCUUGAAACACGG